rnacentral:rRNA from 1 species
AGCAGCCGCGGUAAUUCCAGCUCCAAUAGCGUAUAUUAAAGUUGUUGCAGUUAAAAAGCUCGUAGUUGAAUUUCGGGGUCAGUAGGCUGGUCGUGCCACAGGUAUGUACUGGUCUUACUGAUUCCUCCUUCCUGAUGAACCGUAAUGCCAUUAAUUUGGUGUUGCGGGGAAUCUGGACUGUUACUUUGAAAAUUUAGAGUGUUUAAAGCAGGCUAACGCUUGAAUACAUUAGCAUGGAAUAAUGAAAUAGGACGAUCGAUCCUAUUUUGUUGGUUUCUAGGAUUGACGUAAUGAUUAAUAGGGAUAGUUGGGGGCAUUAGUAUUCAAUUGUCAGAGGUGAAAUUCUUGGAUUUAUUGAAGACUAACUACUGCGAAAGCAUUUGCCAAGGAUGUUUUCAUUAAUCAAGAACGAAAGUUAGGGGAUCGAAGACGAUCAGAUACCGUCGUAGUCUUAACCAUAAACUAUGCCGACUAGGGAUCGGAUGAUGUUAAUUUUUUAAUUGUACUCAUUCGGCGUCCG